rnacentral:rRNA from 1 species
AUUGAACGCUGGCGGCAGGCUUAACACAUGCAAGUCGAGCGGGGUGAUGGUGCUUGCACUAUCACUUAGCGGCGGACGGGUGAGUAAUGCUUAGGAAUCUGCCUAUUAGUGGGGGACAACAUCUCGAAAGGGAUGCUAAUACCGCAUACGGCCUACGGGAGAAAGCAGGGGAUCACUUGUGACCUUGCGCUAAUAGAUGAGCCUAAGUCGGAUUAGCUAGUUGGGUGGGUAAAGGCCUACCAAGGCGACGUUCUGUAGCGGGUCUUACAGGAUGGUCCGCCACACUGGGACUGAUAAACGGCCCAGACUCCUACGGGAGGCAGCAGGGGGGAAUAUUGGACAAUGGGGGGAACCCUGAUCCAGCCAUGCCGCGUGUGUGAAGAAGGCCUUAUGGUUGUAAAGCACUUUAAGCGAGGAGGAGGCUCUUUUGGUUAAUACCCAAGAUGAGUGGACGUUACUCGCAGAAUAAGCACCGGCUAACUCUGUGCCAGCCGCCGCGGUAA